AGCCAGGUGUCUUUUAUACUUGGUUACUUCUGCUCAAUGGUAAGCUAAAUAGCCGCAGUACCCUGACUGUGCAAAGGUAGCAUAAUCAUUUGGCUUAUAAUUGAAGUCUGGCAUGAAAGAAAUUAUGGGUAGCGACUGUCUUCUACAAAUUAAUAAAAUUUACUAAAUAGGUGAAAAUUCCUAUAGAUUUAUAAUAGACGAGAAGACCCUAGAAAUUUUAAUAUAAAAGUAUUUUAUUUAACUUACUAUUUUGUUGGGGCGACAGAAUAACAGUUGAACUUAUUUUAAUUAAUUUGGACUAAUUUUUGCGAAAAAUUAAAUUACUCUAGGGAUAACAGCAUAAUCUAUAAAAGUUUGUGACCUCGAUGUUGGACUAGGGUUUUUAAUGAUCAGAAGUUAUUAAAUUUGGGCUCUGUUCGAGCUUUAUUCCCU
rnacentral:rRNA from 1 species